rnacentral:rRNA from 1 species
CAGAGACUGCAAGCGUUAAUCGGAAUUACUGGGCGUAAAGCGUGCGCAGGCGGUUUGUUAAGGUAGGCGUGAAAUCCCCGGGCUCAACCUGGGAACUGCGCUUAUGACUGGCAAGCUAGAGUACGGCAGAGGGGGGUGGAAUUCCACGUGUAGCAGUGAAAUGCGUAGAGAUGUGGAGGAACACCAAUGGCGAAGGCAGCCCCCUGGGUCGAUACUGACGCUCAUGCACGAAAGCGUGGGUAGCAAACAGGAUUAGAUACCCUGGUAGUCCACGCCCUAAACGAUGUCAACUAGGUGUUGGGAGGGUAAAACCUUUUAGUACCGGAGCUAACGCGUGAAGUUGACCGCCUGGGGAGUACGGCCGCAAGGUUA